rnacentral:rRNA from 1 species
CAGUCGCCGCGGGAAUACGAAGGGUGCAAGCGUUAAUCGGAAUUACUGGGCGUAAAGCGUGCGUAGGCGGUUUGUUAAGUCUGUUGUGAGAUCCCCGGGCUCAACCUGGGAAUGGCAAUGGAUACUGGCAAGCUAGAGUGUGUCAGAGGAUGGUGGAAUUCCCGGUGUAGCGGUGAAAUGCGUAGAGAUCGGGAGGAACAUCAGUGGCGAAGGCGGCCAUCUGGGACAACACUGACGCUGAGGCACGAAAGCGUGGGGAGCAAACAGGAUUAGAUACCCCUGUAGUCCCUGUCUCUUAUAC